UCCCUGGUGGUCCAGUGGUUAGGACCCCACGCUGUCACUACCACGGGCCCAGGUUUGACUCCUGGUCAGGGAA
rfam:TPA: Bos taurus chromosome 2, whole genome shotgun sequence.